ACGGGAGGCAGCAGUGGGGAAUAUUGCACAAUGGGGGGAACCCUGAUGCAGCGACGCCGCGUGAAGGAAGAAGUAUCUCGGUAUGUAAACUUCUAUCAGCAGGGACGAAAAUGACGGUACCUGUGAAGGAAGCUCCGGCUAACUACGUGCCAGCAGCCGCGGUAAUACGUAGGGAGCAAGCGUUAUCCGGAAUUACUGGGUGUAAAGGGAGUGUAGGCGGGACUGUAAGUCAGAUGUGAAAUAUGCCGGCUCAACUGGCAGACUGCAUUUGAAACUGCGGUUCUUGAGUGAAGUAGAGGUAAGCGGAAUUCCUAGUGUAGCGGUGAAAUGCGUAGAUAUUAGGAGGAACAUCAGUGGCGAAGGCGGCUUACUGGGCUUUAACUGACGCUGAGGCUCGAAAGCGUGGGGAGCAAACAGGAUUAGAUACCCUGGUA
rnacentral:rRNA from 1 species